rnacentral:pre_miRNA from 1 species
CUAGUACUCCCUCCGUCCCAAAAUUAUUGUCUUAGAUUUGUCUAGAUAUGAAUGUAUCUAGUCAAGUUUUAGUAUUUAGAUACAUCUAUUUCUAGACAAAGCUAAGACAAGAAUUUUCGGACGGAGGGAGUACUAG